rnacentral:rRNA from 1 species
CGACCCCAGGUCAGGCGGGGUUACCCGCUGAGUUUAAGCAU